rnacentral:precursor_RNA from 8 species
ACCCAGAAAAAUUAAUAGUUUGGGUCCCUUGACUUGGUCUAAGCUCCUCAGUGUGAUGAUUAAACCUGAGGAGUUUAGAGCAAGUAAAGGGUCUUCAACCGACUCGCCCUUUAAAACC